CCGGGAUCGAGUCCGGGAUCAGGUCCGGACGGGGAUCGGGACCAGGAUCUGAUCCAGUUUGGGACCGGGAGCGGGAUUCGAACCGGGCUCGGAUUUGGGAUUUUGGGGGAUCCCCCAAAUUUGGGGUGAAGAUGCAGGAGAAUUACGAGAACGUCAUUUCCUUGGCCGAGGAGAUCGCCAUCAGCUGGCCGCGGAUCACCGCCUUCGCCGAAUCCCCCC